GACGAACGCUGGCGGCGUGCCUAACACAUGCAAGUCGAACGGAGAUACGAUUUCGGUUGUAUCUUAGUGGCGAACGGGUGAGUAACGCGUGAGCAACCUGACCUUCAGAGGGGGAUAACAUUUGGAAACAGAUGCUAAUACCGCAUAAGACCACGACCCGACAUCGGGACGAGGUCAAAGGAGCAAUCCGCUGGAGGAGGGGCUCGCGUCCCAUUAGAUAGAUGGCGGGGUAACGGCCCACCAUGUCGACGAUGGGUAGCCGAGCUGAGAGGCUGAUCGGCCACACUGGAACAGCGACACGGUCCAGACUCCUACGGGAGGCAGCAGUGGGGAAUAUUGGGCAAUGGGCGCAAGCCUGACCCAGCAACGCCGCGUGAGGGAAGAAGGCUUUCGGGUUGUAAACCUCUGUCCUUGGUGACGAAACAAAUGACGGUAGCCAAGGAGGAAGCCCCGGCUAACUACGUGCCAGCCGCCGCCGUAAAAC
rnacentral:rRNA from 1 species